GAAAAUGUACUUGUGUCAUGCACAAAGUAGAUAUCCUAACUGACUUGCCAAAACUACAAUUUGUUAACAAGAAAUUUGUGGAGUGGUUGAAAAACAAGUUUUAAUGACUCCAACCUAAGUGUAUGUAAACUUCUGACUUCAACUGUAUAUUAUAAUUUUUUGAAUUUUAGGGGGUUAACUUAGGGUUAGGAUUCAGGAGAUAGAGGUUAGUUACAGAGUGAGACUGAGGGCUGAGGUUUAGGGGGUUAGCUUAAGGUUAGGAUUCAGGAGAUAGAGGUUUUUACUUUUUUAUUUUUUAUUUUUAUUUUUUUAUUUUUUUAUUUUUUUAUUUUUUUAUUUCACCUUUAUUUAACCAGGUAGGCUAGUUGAGAACAAGUUCUCAUUUGAAACUGCGACCUGGCCAAGAUAAAGCAUAGCAGUGUGAGCAGACAACACAGAGUUACACAUGGAAUAAACAAUUAACAAGUCAAUAACACAGUAGAAAACAAAGGGGGGAGUCUAUAUACAAUGUGUGCAAAAGGCAUGAGGAGGUAGGCGAAUAAUUACAAUUUUGCAGAUUAACACUGGAGUGAUAAAUGAUCAGAUGGUCAUGUACAGGUAGAGAUAUUGGUGUGCAAAAGAGCAGAAAAGUAAAUAAAUAAAAACAGUAUGGGGAUGAGGUAGGUGAAAAUGGGUGGGCUAUUUACCAAUAGACUAUGUACAGUAGCAGCGAUCGGUUAGCUGCUCAGAUAGCUGAUGUUUGAAGUUGGUGAGGGAGAUAAAAGUCUCCAACUUCAGCGAUUUUUGCAAUUCGUUCCAGUCACAGGCAGCAGAGUACUGGAACGAAUGGCGGCCAAAUGAGGUGUUGGCUUUAGGGAUGAUCAGUGAGAUACACCUGCUGGAGCGCGUGCUACGGAUGGGUGUUGCCAUCGUGACCAGUGAACUGAGAUAAGGCGGAGCUUUACCUAGCAUGGACUUGUAGAUGACUUGGAGCCAGUGGGUCUGGCGACGAAUAUGUAACGAGGGCCAGCCGACUAGAGCAUACAGGUCGCAGUGGUGGGUGGUAUAAGGUGCUUUAGUGACAAAACGGAUGGCACCGUGAUAGACUGCAUCCAGUUUGCUGAGUAGAGUGUUGGAAGCCAUUUUGUAGAUGACAUCGCCGAAGUCGAGGAUCGGUAGGAUAGUCAGUUUUACUAGGGUAAGCUUGGCGGCGUG
ensembl:lncRNA